UACGGAGGGUGCAAGCGUUAUCCGGAUUCACUGGGUUUAAAGGGUGCGUAGGUGGAUUAAUAAGUCAGUGGUGAAAGCCCCGAGCUCAACUUGGGAAUUGCCAUUGAUACUGUUAGUCUUGAGUUCGGUUGAGGUAGGCGGAAUAAGUCAUGUAGCGGUGAAAUGCUUAGAUAUGACUUAGAACACCAAUUGCGAAGGCAGCUUACCAAGCCGAUACUGACACUGAUGCACGAAAGCGUGGGGAUCAAACAGG
rnacentral:ncRNA from 2 species